CCUACGGGAGGCAGCAGUGAGGAAUAUUGGUCAAUGGGCGCGAGCCUGAACCAGCCAAGUAGCGUGAAGGAUGACUGCCCUACGGGUUGUAAACUUCUUUUAUAAAGGAAUAAAGUGAGGCACGUGUGCCUUUUUGUAUGUACUUUAUGAAUAAGGAUCGGCUAACUCCGUGCCAGCAGCCGCGGUAAUACGGAGGAUCCGAGCGUUAUCCGGAUUUAUUGGGUUUAAAGGGAGCGUAGAUGGGUUGUUAAGUCAGUUGUGAAAGUUUGCGGCUCAACCGUAAAAUUGCAAUUGAUACUCGGAGUCAUGAGUACAGAUGAGGAAGGUGGAAUUCGAGGUGUAGCGGUGAAAUGCUUAGAUAUAAGGAAGAACUCCGAUGGCGAAGGCAGCUCUCUAAACUGUAACUGACACUGAGGCUCGAAAGCGUGGGGAGCAAACAGGAUUAGAUACCCGAGUAGUC
rnacentral:rRNA from 1 species